rnacentral:rRNA from 1 species
UCGAGCGAACUGACGAGGAGCUUGCUCCUUUGACGUUGCGGCGGACGGGUGAGUAACACGUGGGUAACCUACCUAUAAGACUGGAAUAACUCCGGGAAACCGGGGCUAAUGCCGGAUAACAUGUUGAACCGCAGGGUUCAACAGUGAAAGACGGUCUUGCUGUCACUUAUAGAUGGACCCGCGCCGUAUUAGCUAGUUGGUAAGGUAACGGCUUACCAAGGCGACAAUACGUAGCCAACCUGAGAGGGUGAUCGGCCACACUGGAACUGAGACACGGUCCAGACUCCUACGGGAGGCAGCAGUAGGGAAUCUUCCGCAAUGGGCGAAAGCCUGACGGAGCAACGCCGCGUGAGUGAUGAAGGUCUUCGGAUCGUAAAGCUCUGUUGUUAGGGAAGAACAUAUGUGUAAGUAACUGUGCACAUCUGGACGGUACCUAACCAGAAAGCCACGGCUAACUACGUGCCAGCAGCCGCGGUAAUACGUAGGUGGCAAGCGUUAUCCGGAAUUAUUGGGCGUAAAGCGCGCGUAGGCCGUUUUUUAAGUCUGAUGUGAAAGCCCACGGCUCCAACCGUGGAGGGUCAUUGGAAACUGGAAAACUUGAGUGCAGAAGAAGAAAGUGGAAUUUCCAUUGUGUAGCCGUGAAAUGCGCAGAAGAUUAUGGAGGAACCACCCAGUGGCCGAAGGCGGCUUUCUGGUCUCGUAACUGACGCUGAAGUGCCAAAGCCUUGGGGAUCAAACCAGGAUUAGAUACCCUGGUAGUUCCACGCCCUAAACGAUGAAUGCUAAGUGUUAGGGGGUUUUCCGCCCCCUAGGUCCUCCAGCCUAACCCAUUAAGCACUUCCGCCCUGGGAAGUACCGUCGCAAGGACGGAAACUCAAAAGAAAUGACGGGGAACCGCACAAGCGGUGGAGCCAUGUGGUUUAAUUUCGAAGCCACGCGGAGAACCUUACCAAAUUCUUGACAUCUUUUGACCCGCUCUAAAAAAAGAAUUUUCCUCUUUCGAAGGCAAAAAUGACAGGUGGUGCAAGGUUGUCGUUCAGCUCGUGUCGGGAGAAGGUGGGUUAAAUCCCGCCACCGAGCGCCACCCCUUAGGCUAGUUGCACUCCAUUAAUUGGGCCAUCCAAAUUGGAUUCCGGUGGCCAACCGGAGGAAAGUGGGGAAGAAGUCAAAUUAUCCAUCCCCUUUAGAAUUUGGGUACCCCACUGGUACCAAGGACCAAACAAAAGGCAAGGAAACCCGGAAGUCCAGCAAAUUCCAAAAAAUUGUUUUCCAUUUGGAAUGUUGUUUGCAAAUUGGAUACCAGAAAGCGGGAACGGUUGUUAUUGUAGAUUAACCUGGUUCGGGGAAUACCUUCCCCGGUUUUGGACCCCCCCCCCCUCCCCCCCCGAGAAUUUGGUACCCCCGAAGCCCGUGGGUACCCAUUGGAGCUAGCCUCGAAGUGACA